AUGUUACCUACCAGAGACGAGUUAUAUGCCUCUUCGAUUAUGAUAGCGACGAGCAAUCUAGAAAAAUAUGCUCAGGUAUGUGUUUUGUAUUCGAUUCUUCCUCUUAUUCAACUUCUUGUAUCUUCUUCUUUAGUUUUAUGCCUUAGAACUUCUGAAUCUACUUCUGAGUUUGUUGUUGUUGUCGGCAUGUCCUUAUGUGUGUGUCUGUAG